rnacentral:lncRNA from 1 species
GAAGGGUGGUGCCUGGGAGGACCUGCAGAGGAGCUCCUGCCUCUCUGCUCAGGCCAGUUCUGCAGCACCCUCUGUGGCAGCUGAGAGCAGGCCCUCUGCAGAAGAGAGCCAGGGGCAUGGAGAGUUCAGGCCUCCAGCAGAGGGAGUGCAGAUAUGGGGAAAGCUGACCCCUGGAGUCAGCAGGCCCAGCCCUAGGAGGGGGCAGUCCCACAGCAGGCUCACACCCUGCCCUUCAGAGUUGCAGCAGCUAAUGCUGAUGCCAGGACCUUGUCCUGCCAGGAAGCCUCUGAUUAGGGCUGUGAACCAACUUCCUUUUCACAUCUGCAAGGACACUUGGAGGCAACUGCCCAAGGCCACUCUGAGGAGGGUUGAAUGUUCUUUAUUAAAAGGACUGAGGAUCAUGUGUGUUGGUGGGCCUUGGACUCUGCUCUAAGCUCAAAUUUUGCAGUUUCUGCUGUCAUCACAGCUGGGAAUGAGAAAGGGAAGGGGCUCCAGUUGGUCUCCCUCUGCCUCUGGAGCACACGUGGAGGACAUGAGGCUUCCGCAGGAACAGCUCUGAAAGCUGAGUUCUCGGGUCCCUGUGAAGGAGGGAAGCUUGCCUGCCUUGGAGCGUGAAAAAGUCUUGCUGGACAGAAGUCUCACGGUUUAAAACUGGGAAGGGAGAGGAUUGAGAUCACACUAGAAUGCACAGAAAAUUCUUAAAACAAAAAAAUGAGAGAAACUUCAUCAGAAUGUGAAAAGAACUAUAAAGCUACAGUGCUGAAGAGAGGGCAAUACUGGCACUAGAAUGAGAAGAUUCAUGGAACACAGUGGAAAAUGCAGUAAGAGAGCUGCAUGUAUGUAAUAUUUUAUCAUGUGAUAAAGUGAUAUAUUAAUAUUCACAAGGAAAUAGUCAAUUAUUUAAUAAGUUCUCUUUUUGGUAUUGACUUACUGUAUGGAAACAAAUAUUGUUGCAUUUCUACCUUACUAGUUACAAAUAGUGAUUUAGUUGUAAUAAAAUGAAAAUCAUUAGACUUAAA